GUUACUUAUCAAGCUACCUAGCUUUGGAGAAACUUUUUUCUGUUCACACACCUGACAGGUCUGUUUGCAGAGAUGCGUUUAUAUGGGCACAGGGGGCGGGGGACGUGGAAAUUUCCCUGCUCUGAGUUCUCUGCCUGAUCUCAACACAGGUAUGGCCUGGACCCUCUGCACUGCUACCUGUCAAGUCUGGACCUGUUAACAAAGAUUCGGGGAAGAAUAGCGACCCUAAUUUCAUAGACUUUCUGUCUGGACUUACCCACAACCAUCCGGAUAUAAAUGUUGCCCUGUCCUGUUACCCACGCUAUGAGCCUCUGCUUAGACUGUGUUGUCCGAGUUCCACGCCUCUGCUCUGCUGUUCGCAGACUACACUGCAGGUCCCUCUAUCGCGUGUGAAUUUAUGCACAGAUCUAGAUGUGUGCACCAAACACCAAGGAAAUUCACCGAAAGUCCUACGGUUCUCUGCUUCUGUUUUUACCAGAGAUUUCAACUACGUCUAUGGCUUUUGGACAAUGACUUUCGGAUCCCAGCAGGUUUUACUGAUGACACCUGGGCUUAAUAGAAAUCACGUGAACUGGUCAGGAUCCUGUGCUCUCUGCUGCCCACUGUAGAUGAGGUCCCCAUCGAGAUACAGAAGGAGAACACGGCCCGGGUGCCCCGGAGGCCCAACCCCAAGAUAAUGGCUGGUUGGGGAAGAAGGAGUCGUACGAGCCGGGGUGAGUGGAAGGCCAAGCUGCAAACAGCAGCCACCCGCCGCCCCCCCCAUCCCUAUCUUCAUGUGUACUUGAUUCUUUCACCUGAGUGUCACUGAUAUGCCCUGUCUGUGGUUAGGGGGUGACCAGUAGUCACAUGUCCUACUGUCCAGUAAUGCACAUGUAUUCUGAAAAUUGCAUUGUCACUUUGAAAGAUUUGAUUUAAGAAACGUGAGGGGCGCCUGAGUGGCUCAGUUGAUUAAGCGUCUGACUCUUGAUUUCGGUCCUGGUCAUGACCCAAGUGUUGUAGGGUCAAGCCCUGUGUUAGGCUCUGUGCUGAGUAUGGAGCCUGCUUAAGAUUCUCUCCCUCUCCCCCUCCCUCUCUCCCCCACCCAUGCAUGCUCUCUCUCUAAAAUAACAAACAUGAAACUGGGUUUAAAAUCUAUCAGCAUUAUCAUUGUAAGUGUUAAAACUGUACCGGGCCAUGAAAGAAAAGGUGGAACUGUUGUCUCUUGUAAGCAUCAUUUCAGUUGCUGGUUGGUAAGUGGUUUAAGUUUUUUUUUUAAUGUUUAUUUAUUUUUGACAGAGAGAGAGAGAGACAGAGACAGAGCAUGAGCAGGGGAGGGGCAGAGAGAGAGGGAGACACAGAAUCCAAAGCAGGCUCCAGGCUCCUAGCUGUCAGUACAGAGCCCGAUGCGGGGCUCGAACUCACAUGCCAUGAGAUCAUGACCUGAGCUGAAGCUGGACGCUGAACCGACUGAGCCACCCAGGCACCCCUGGUUGGUAAGUUGUUUAAAGUUUUUAUCACCUACUCAUGUGAUCAAGGUUUGCUGUUUUGUUUUUUUUUUAACUGAUGGUUACUAGCUAUAAUAGGAGAAAACUUAUAAGAGCUUGACUAGGAAUUGUAUGUAGCAUACACACCCUGUCAAAACAAAAAUGUUCCCAAGUGUUUAAAAGCCGUCAUUUGCCUGACUUUGAGGUUUCAACAAUAUCAAAAUUAUGAACUUCUGUUUACUCAAACACUGCGCAAAGGUAGCUUUGUGGUCCAUUCGCUGAAUAAUAUAGAAAGAUUUUCUGGAAAAUGUUUCUUGAGAGAGCCUGCUCCUUUGAAGUGAAACUAAGGGCCACUAAGCCUGAUCCACGUAGAUGGCUGUUGCAUAGCCGACGAUCAUUCCAGAAGCAUCCCGUUUCUGAGUGCGAGGCAAAGACUGGCAGUGGCUUCCAGGCACAGUGAGCUCAGUAGUGUUGCGUUUGGCCCCAGAGGUCAGGAAUGAUGGUGGUCAUGGGAGAAAGAGGCAAGAGGGAUGUGGGACAUUCUCAAUUCUGGAAAUGAGAUAAAAAAAAAAAAAACGUUAAAUGAUAUGCUAUUUUAAAAAUCCAAAAAGUGGGUGAAAAGGUGAGUCACAGGCUAAAAAAUAUUUGCGACAUAAAAUCAAUAAAAGGCUAGCGUCCAGAAUGAACA
rnacentral:lncRNA from 1 species